AGGGAGAAGUUAUUCAGAACUGAAAGUUAACUAUACAUUAAAUAGAUUGUACAUUAAAAGGUUCUUUCUCUUAAAAAAUUACAAGAUAAGAUAUAUUUUUGCUUCCAUAAAGUACAUCAUUUAAAAUAUAAACCUUUUUAUAUGGAAUAUAUAAAAUUGCUUAUUAUUUACUAAGGACAAAACGACAGGUCCCUAUUUUUAGAAAACUAAAUUUUACUAAUCGCAUAAAAACGUACGAUACACACAUUUUGUGUUUUAUAUACAUGAAGUCAAAUAUAUUUUUGAUUAUAGAUGAUACACAUAUCUGAUUUUAAACUUAUUCUAUGCAGUAAACAGUUACUUGAGGAAUCAAUAAAGUAUAAAACGUU
rnacentral:sRNA from 1 species